CACUUUGGACCACUCAAAGACACAGUCUACCUGCUGUUUAACCCAGUCUUUGGUCAGAGGUGAAGAAGAGAUUACAUCCUCCACACCAUCCCCCUGCUGCUCUCAACAACCAUCAUCGCUGUGCUGGACAGACUGCAGCACCCACCAGGACCGUUCUCUCAUGGACUACACAAACAUGUGUUUUACCUGCUUGUGCUCCAGAUGUCCUGAAGCAGCUCUCAAGGACCACCAGACACCAGGCUGAAGCAGAACUGAUGCUGUAGUACCUGUCACUCACUGGGCUCGUUCCUGCUGAACCCCCAAGAAAUAAACCCCUCUUCAAGAAAGUCUGAGGUAAUGUCUUGGUGAACUUGUGUUCAUUCAUGUACAGCUCUGCUGAUACCAUCGUCUUUAACAGCAGUGUUUUCUCCCAUGUCUUCUUUAAGCCAGUUAAGAGAGGAAGAACAGCUUAGCCACUCAGACAGCUGAACACACCAAAGGUGGACAUCAUGCAGCCACCCUGAGCCUUGAGCCUCUCUGUGUGAGGAAGCUUUGCUGCUGCAGACCUGGUGAAGUUGCUCUGCUGCAGUGCUGAAGGUAUUCAUUGUAAUGAUGUGUGUAUUUAUUCAACAUGUUUAGUUUCACAGAUUAUCAACACAAAUGUUUCUGUUUAUUUCCUGUUUUGAACCAGCUACAUUCUCCUACUUCAAGUCACUGUCUGUUCAUCCACGAUGUAGCAAGUGCAGCUAACUAAUGGUGAUCCUACAAUCAAUUGUAUUGAUAUACAGUUAAAGUGAAGGGGAUUUUGUUUGUUUUUUUUCAGACCUCUCCUCCUCCUGCCUCUGACUCCGGUAAUGCUAUCAACUCGAAAACUGAUAACUGCACACAGUGAUUCUACAACCACAGGUCAAAGGUCAAAACAUUACCUCACUCAAAACCUUCACUCUGAAUUGUACCGGGCUCGGCUUUUGGUUUUGAAAAAAAGUGCCCAGACAGAACACAGUACUCACUUGAG